rnacentral:rRNA from 1 species
GGAUGCGAUCAUACCAGCACUGAAGCACCGGAUCCCAUCAAAACUCCGAAGUUAAGCGUGCCUGGGCGAGAGUAGUACUAGGAUGGGUGACCUCCUCGGAAGUCCUCGUGUUGCAUUCC